rnacentral:rRNA from 1 species
UACGGAGACUGCGAGCGUUACUCGGAUUCACUGGGCGUAAAGGGUGCGCAGGCGGUGAUGUAUGUCAGGUGUGAAAUCCCGGGGCUUAACUCCGGAAGUGCGCCUGAAACUGCAUUACUAGAGGCUUGGAGGGGACAGCAGAAUUUCUGGUGUAGCGGUGAAAUGCGUAGAUAUCAGGAGGAACAUCGAUGGCGAAGGCAGCCCCCUGGGCCUGUACUGACGCUCAUGCACGAAAGCGUGGGGAGCAAACA